rnacentral:rRNA from 1 species
GCGCGUAAAUUACCCAAUGCAGACUCUGCGAGGUAGUGACAAUACAUAACAACUCGGGGCCCUCACGGGCUUACGGGAUUGCAAUGAGCACAAACUAAAAACCUUAGCGAGGAACAAGUGGAGGGCAAGUCUGGUGC